AGCAUUUCAGAGGAAAAACAGGGCAAACCAGGAUUUCAUUUUGCCCUAGAGAAACAGGUUGUCCUCUAAAAACUAGGACUGUUCAGCAACUAAAGGCACACUUUACCUCUCUCCUCUCGAGUGCCCUGUCGAAGAGUUCCUCGGAGGUGGUCCCUCUUCUCACAGUAGUGAUGGUUGCCAAGCCCUGAGCAACAAGGAGACUGAGCCAUGGGGAGGGGAAGCCUCAAGGAGAGAUCAGAGUGAGUUUUGUGCAGAAAGAGUAGGCAGGGGUGGGUUGUGGAGGAGACAGGGGGUGGGUUGUGGAGGAGACAGGAGGGAUGGGGGAAGCCUCAGCUUUGGGAACGGGUGGUCUUUGAAGGUGUGAAGCCAGCCUCAGAAGUGUGCAGUCACCUUGAGUGAAACGGGGCUGGAGAUGGUUGCAUUGAGCAAGGUUACAAGAUACUUGGCUGGCUCUGCCCAUCCUCACGAUGUCCUUUAAGGCCUUAGUGGGCCUCCCAUGUGGCUAAGCUCUUGAUUGGUGCUGCUGGAGCUCAUAGCAGGUCCAUGUGUCGUUGGCCUCAGCAGCCACCCCAUAGACACAGAGUGCAUUUUCUGAGUUGAGUGUGCCAUGUGAAUGGAGCUGGCUGCCACUUACCAAGACUCAAGUAUUCUAGUUAGUCUCAAGGCCUCUGUCCUGCUCUGGUCCAACCUGUGGAAAGCUGAGCUCUGGCUCACAAUUUCCAGAUUGCUAGCCAUGUCUAAUUUACCCACCCACCCUCCAACCCCCAAAUAAGAAAAGCCAAUUCCAUUUAGAAAAAAAAAAAUUGGCUUACUCAUGAGUCAAAGUUCACCUCCCCUAGUGGCUGAGCUGUCAAGGACUGAGAGCCAAGAACACCUAUCAUCUCUUAGCACAGCUCCCACAAGUACCUAUCCUGGAGGGCCUCUUCCCACUCCACUCUGCAAAGAUUAAAGUUUAGUAGGACAGUGAAGAAAGGGGGUGGCAUCUCCUUGAGACUUGCCGUUCUGUAAAAUGGGAUGAUCACAGCUGAUAUUCUGCGGCUGUAAGAACCUGGGUGAUCCUUUGAAGGUCUGGGUUACUGGGGUAGAGCACACAAAGUAUUAGCUCAUUAGCUGCCUCCCUCUCUAUCGAUUUCACUGAUUGCUAUAUUGACUCUGUGAAAAGAAGCCACAUUCUCAGAACAGAAGCACAACCCUUCUGAAGUUAAUGGAACGAGGGUUCAGGUCCUGUCUGCCUUUGGGCCCUUUAUUUGCCAGUGGCUAUAGUCCCAGCCAUGGCUCCCUCCCCUCCCUGCAACAGAGCUUUGCAGACUAUGAGAGGAAGUAGCUCUUCCUCUCCAUCUGGGCCUUUGGCUGUAAAGUGGGGAAGCAGGCUGACCUUAGAGGGCCAUUUUACUGGGACUUCCCUUAUUUGGGGUCUUAGCAAGGCAGGAACAACCAGACUUGCCAAGGGCGCCUGCUAAUAAUUUGUGCUGUUGUGGUAUCUGGUGGUGUGUGUUCUUGUGUAAUCUGUUGGUUAUUUGUGUCUUGAAAUUUAGAAUCAUUUCAUUCAGGAUUGUUACUAUUUGUUGGGAAGAAAAAUGAAAUAGAAGCAGCCUAGUCUUACAUCGUGUCUUGUUACCAUUUAAGAUUGACAUUUAAUUUUUCAAGUCAUUGUUGGUGCCUAAUCACUUAAGUUAUUAAUUUAUUCUGUUUUCAAAAAAUUGUAACAUAUUUAUCUUGUGAAGUCUGGGGGCGGGGUGGGAAAUAUGUUCAAGUGAGUCAUGUUUCACAGUGGUAACAAAUGGUACAGGCCUGGAGCUUGCAGGUCCCUUUUUAUUAUGGUGUAGAAGCAGGACAAUAAAGUCCUUUAGAAAUGCAACCCAGAGUAGGCUACUGGAGACUGUCUUUACGGGUGUGGAAACUUACUCUUGUCCCAUCCUGGGCAGUCUUAGAACUGAUGCUGUCCUACAGAUACCUUCUCUGACAAACUCAUUUCACAGUCAUUUCAUGAAUAACCCCAGAACUGGUGUGCUCAAUUCUGCUCAUCUUGAUGGGCUGCAAUUGGACACUUUUCCAGGCCAGGGGCGGGAAUGAACCUUCUUCAGACCAGCAUCGGCAUCUGCAAUGGAGCAGACCUGUAGUCCAGCACUCCAGAAGCUGAAACAGGGACAGGACAAUUGGUAUCCUUGACAGCUCCAGAGUCUGGCAUUUGGACAGAAUCGUCUACCCCUGGUCAUAGCACCAUUUUGACCUUCCAGAUGCUUCUGUUCUUAGGAAGAUGAUCUUGGGUGCAGGCCAGUCCCAGACCCUCCCUCAGUAUACAGCCACCCAUGUCCCUCUUCAGCUUUAAGAUUAUGAACUGAAAGAGCUGGAUGUUGGGACUAGAGAGAGGGCUCAGCUAUUUGGUUCCCAGCACCGACAUUGGGUGACUCACAACAGCUUGUAACUCCAGUUCCAGGGAAUCUGAUGUCCUCUACUGGCCCUCACACAUACAUGGUACAUACACCUAACAGAGAUACACAUUCAUACAAUAAAAAUAAAUUUUUAAAGCUCU
rnacentral:lncRNA from 1 species